UCUUCUGCUCCUGAUAAGCCCCACCCCCCACAGGUCCACACACACCAUAAACACAACCCUGGUCUGUGCAUACUUCCCAACACCCUGGAGUGUACCCCGAUACCCCACUGCAGAGACCCCCACCUCUCCACCAAUGCCACACCUGGUCCUCACACAGGUGGUGCCCCAAAGAGGUGAACACACCCUCCUGCCUGUAGAGGAUCAAGGCACCCAAUCAAUGCAGGCCGACAAGUAGCCUGAGGGUUUGCUGUUGGGUAGGGCUGGUCCCUAGGGUGUGCUGCCUACCCUGGCUGAACUAGAUUAAAUCUGCACUUCAGUGGGUGUGGCAGACCCUUGGGCUAACAGGCCAGGGGAAGAACUUCAAUGGUGUCUGCCAGGGUCUGUGUCAGCAUGCCUGGACUAAGUGACAACAAUGGCCACCACCAAUGUCUCAGUCUCCAGAGAGGUCUCACAUCACAAUGAGAUGCACUCAGAGCCCACCAGCUAUUAACUUUGAGUCAGGAGGACUGCAUGAUUCUGAGAAGAUCGUUAUUACAGCUUCAUUAACAAACGGAGUAUUUCAAGCAUGUUGUAGUAUGAAGUUCUUUCUGGCCAAGAGAUAUAUAAAUUCUGAGCCAAGGACCUGGAGAAGCAGGAAAUCUGAGCUAUCCAUCCUUGGAGUGUGAAAAAGGACAGCAGAGAUGGUCUUAGAGCAAACAGACCACCCAGAAUAUGUCUGUGGUUUCUCAGUGAGUCUGAACCGUGACGCUACUGUCGCUGUCUUCAUAUUGGCAAGGAGAGGACGUAGGGAUUAUGCAAACAGCCUUUUCUACCUGUGUUUUUUGGUUUCCCUGAAGGUCUCCCUCAGGAAACUUGGGGAUAAAAAGGCAGCCCAUUUUCAAAUGAAGGAUGCAAAAUUUUGGUGUGGAUCAUUGGCCACCAGCGUGAGCAAUGGAUAAUUUAUUUAUUCUGCUUUGCAUUGUGUCUUGUGAGAUGAUUCAAAUUCAGUAUGUGAAUCCAUAAUUGCCUGGGUGUUAAUGAUGUUGCACAGGAAGGGUUAUGCUGCUACCCAAGCUAAAGAGCUAUUUUAAGUUUGGGCCCCAAUUAAGAAGAGGCUUUUCCUGUUAAUGUGGCUGAUAACCUCCCUCACAUUGUCAAAGCGCGUUAAUAUUCACUAAAUACAUUUUGUAUGUGUUCAUACAGUAAAUGUAUACGUAUACAGAGAGAGAGAGAAAGAGAGAAUAUAAGAAUAGUAUAUUACAGUUCAUUCUCAUUGCAGAAAGGAUUCAUUUAUUCUUAAAUCAUUUUGUCCUCAUGAGGUUUAAGUAAAAAUAAACUCUUCAAAUACAUUAAGUAUGCCUGCCUAGACUUAGUGAGUCACUAAACUUUUUAAGUUGUCUUCUCUUCUCAAAUCUUCUACGCCAUCUCUCCUGUCAAAGCAUAUGUCUCAUAUGCUUGAGAAAAUAGAAGCAGUGGAAGAUGAACUUGCUCACUUUCCUACUAAAGGAAUUUCCAACAGACAUAUUACUGCCUGCGCCUUCCCUCCUAUUACUCUGGUUGAGUGCUCUCUAUUGACUCCCAUGAAGGACCAAGUUC
rnacentral:lncRNA from 1 species